GACGAACGCUGGCGGCGUGCCUAAUACAUGCAAGUCGAACGCAGUUGGGACGGGUGAGUAACACGUGGGUAACCUCCCAUCAGAGGGCAUAACACUUGGAAACAGGUGCUAAACCGAUACUGAUGGAUGGACCCGCGGUGCAUUAGCUAGUUGGUGAGGUAACGGCUCACCAAGGCCACGAUGCAUAGUCGACCUGGUAGGGUUAUGGGCCAGAUUGGGACUGAGACACGGCCCAGAUUCCUACGGGAGGCAGCCGUAGGGAAUCUUCGGCAAUGGAGGAAAGACUGACCGAGAAAGGCCGCGUGAGUGAAGAAGGUUUUCGGAUCGUAAAACUCUGUUGUUAGAGAAGCGGUAUCUAACCAGAAAGCCACGGCUAACUACGUGCCAGCAGCCGCGGUAAUUC
rnacentral:rRNA from 1 species